rnacentral:rRNA from 1 species
AAUGACGGUACCUGAGGAAUAAGCAUCGGCUAACUCCGUGCCAGCAGCCGCGGUAAUACGGAGGAUGCAAGCGUUAUCCGGAAUGAUUGGGCGUAAAGGGUCCGCAGGUGGUACUGUAAGUCUGCUGUUAAAGAGCAAGGCUCAACCUUGUAAAAGCAGUGGAAACUACAGAACUAGAGUGCGUUCGGGGCAGAAGGAAUUCCUGGUGUAGCGGUGAAAUGCGUAGAUAUCAGGAAGAACACCGGUGGCGAAAGCGUUCUGCUAGGCCGUAACUGACACUGAGGGACGAAAGCUAGGGGAGCGAAUGGGAUUAGAUACC